rnacentral:rRNA from 1 species
UCCAAUCGAACUCGGAUAUAGCUGGUUCUCCUCGAAAUAGCUUUAGGGCUAGCCUUAGGGAAAGACUAGCGGAGGUAGAGCACUGAAUGUUGGAGGGGCCUUCACCGGUUACCGAAAACUAUCAAACUCCGAAUGCCGCCAAGUUAUACCUAGGAGUCAGACUAUGUGAGAUAAGUUUCAUAGUCGAAAGGGAAACAGCCCAGACCAACAGCUAAGGUCCCAAAAUGUAAGUUAAGUGGAAAAGGAUGUGAAGUCGCACAAACAGCUAGGAUGUUGGCUUAGAAGCAGCCAUACAUUUAAAGAGUGCGUAAUAGCUCACUAGUCGAGUGACUUUGCGCCGAAGAUAAACGGGGCUAAAACUUACUACCGAAGCUUUGGAAUUACGAAAGUAAUUGGUAGAGGAGCAUUGUAUAUAGGAAGAAGGGCAAGCGUAAGCGAACCUGGACAGUAUACAAGAGAGAAUGUUGGCAUGAGUAGCGCAAGGCAGGUGAGAAUCCUGCCCGCCGAAAAUCUAAGGAUUCCUGAGGAAGGUUCGUCCGCUCAGGGUAAGUCGGGACCUAAGCCAAGGACGAAAGUCGUAGGUGAUGGACAACUGGUUGAGAUUCCAGUACCACCAAAAUUUGAUUGAGUGAAGUGGGGACGCAGAAGGAAGAGCUGAGCACGCGGUUGGUAGAGCGUGUCCAAGUAUCAAGGGAGAAUAUAAAGGCAAAUCCGUAUAUUCAUAUUCUGAGGUACGAAGGGGAAGGAAAUAAAGUACUGAAGCAGCAUAAAUCACACUGCCAAGAAAAGCCGCUAGCGAGAAUUGAGGUGCCCGUACCGCAAACCGACACAGGUAGAUGAGGAGAGAAUCCUAAGGUGAGCGAGAGAACUAUUGUUAAGGAACUCGGCAAAAUAACCCCGUAACUUCGGGAGAAGGGGUGCCUGCUUCGGCAGGCCGCAGUGAAAAGGCCCAGGCAACUGUUUACCAAAAACACAGGUCUCUGCAAAAGCGAAAGCUGAAGUAUAGGGGCUGACGCCUGCCCGGUGCUGGAAGGUUAAGGGGAAAUGUAAGGGCAACCGAAGCAUAGAACUUAAGCCCCAGUAAACGGCGGCCGUAACUAUAACGGUCCUAAGGUAGCGAAAUUCCUUGUCGGGUAAGUUCCGACCCGCACGAAAGGCGUAACGAUCUGGGCACUGUCUCAACAAUAGACUCGGUGAAAUUGUAGUACCGGUAAAGAUGCCGGUUACCCGCAGCAGGACGGAAAGACCCCGUGGAGCUUUACUGUAGCUUGAUAUUGAGUUUCGGCGUUGCAUGUACAGGAUAGGUGGGAGACAAUGAAGCAAGUACGCCAGUAUUUGCGGAGUCAUCGUUGGGAUACCACCCUUGUAACGCUGGAAUUCUAACCAUGUACCGUGAACCGGUGCUGAGACAGUGUCAGGUGGGCAGUUUGACUGGGGCGGUCGCCUCCUAAAGAGUAACGGAGGCGUUCAAAGG